CUUCUGCUUGUCAGUUAGGUGCCUCUCUCAACUCUUCAGUGCAAAGAAAAUAACAUGAUAUUAUUAGAAAGCACUGAGAUAAAGAUGUUUUCCAGGUUCUGAUUGUUUACUUGUGGUUAUUAAGGGCUGUGUAAGAUGAUUUUAUCUUUUAACAGGCACGGUCUGAAGUACCGAGGAGCAGUGUGACAGAAAAUGCCAUGACAGAAAGUUCCCCUAUAGCAACCUCGGAGCAGCAGCAUGACCUGGGGAGUCAGGAAGUGAAAAUGGAGCCAUUGGAUUUCUGCAACCUCACACAUCAUACAUAUCACCAUGAUAGACAACAGUGAAGCUUCUCAGGACAUAAGCAGCAGGACAUUAUAACACCUCUUUCCCAACUUUGUGUAUUUACAUAAGAAGAAUCCACAUCAAGGUUAACCGUCAAGCUCAUUUUGUGUUCAUCACAAGCAUUUAUUCACACUUAAUGAUCUCAGCCGAUUCAUCAGUCAGUCUGCUGGGCAUUUCUUCUCAAUGAAUAACAAAGUCUGCCGAUACAGUACGGAUACACUUGAUCAAUCUCGCACCCCCUCCUUCGUCAAAAGAAAUUAGCAAUAAAAAAAAUCAAAUUGCUAUCGAUCGGUCUUCAUUGAUUUCCUUUAGUCUUUUCCACUGCAAUUACUCCUCGUGCAACAGCCGCUGUUUUCUGGUGAUUGCUGGACGGCCAGCUGGGGUUACAGCCACACGCGGUGCUUCUCUCCCUUUCUUUCUCUCUCCCUCUUCCUCACUUCACGAUCAAGGUCAACUUUAAUCAACCUCAGGGCCUGUCAGCGGCUGCCGACAGCCUCAGCUGUGCCCCGCUCUCAAUUCCUCUGGGCCUCGACGCGGCGGCUUACAGAAUUACCCUGCUGUUCAUCAAACACCCAGUUGCUCAUUACUCACCGCACUCCUCCUGGAGUCAUUAAGAGCCUGGGAUACAAAGGACUUAUAUCAUCCAGACGAAUGUGCUUCGCUACACUGUGUACCAUGGGAAGAGAACGUGUACUCAGGAGCGACGCUGUUGUCGUUAGUUUAGAGCGUGAUGUCGAUGUCGACAGCUCUAGUUAAUCUCUGGCGUUUCAUAUUAUGCAAGGUGCUUGUUUUGGCCACACCACGUUAUUCACAAAUAGAGCCAUGCCAUCAAAAGCUGACUCUUGGACUGCUGCAUUCAAAAUACAGAUACAUUAUUAUUAGAUUAUCCUGUUGAAUCAUCAGUGUUUGAAUGUAUGGAAGCUGUUUGUUGUGAUAUUGAUGUGUUCUUUGCCAUUUAAAGGAAUAUUCUGGGUUUGGUACAAUUUAAGCUCCCGUAACAGCAUUUGUUAUGAUUAUUUGUUGUUGAUUAACACAAAAAAUAUCUAUAUAAAAUAAUUUAUAAUAAGCUCUUCCUUCAUUUUCUUAAAAAAUAAAUAAAAAAUGAGGAUACAGUGAACACUUGCCAAUGAAAGGGAA